UACAGAGGGGGCAAGCGUUAUUCGGAAUUAUUGGGCGUAAAGGGCGCGUAGGCGGCUUUGCAAGUGACGGGUGAAAUCCCUCGGCUUAACCGAGGAACUGCCUGUCAAACUGCAUGGCUUGAGACCGGGAGAGGUGAGUGGAAUUCCCAGUGUAGCGGUGAAAUGCGUAGAUAUUGGGAGGAACACCGGUGGCGAAGGCGGCCCCCUGGACCGGUACUGACGCUGAGGCGCGAAAGCGUGGGUAGCAAACGGG
rnacentral:rRNA from 1 species